AGAACAGCAACUGCUGAGGCUGCCUUGGGAAGAAGAUGAUCCUAAACAAAGCUCUGAUGCUGGGGGCCCUCGCCCUGACCACCGUGAUGAGCCCUUGUGGAGGUGAAGACAUUGUGGCUGACCACGUUGCCUCUUACGGUGUAAACUUGUACCAGUCUUACGGUCCCUCUGGCCAGUUCACCCAUGAAUUUGAUGGAGACGAGGAGUUCUAUGUGGACCUGGAGAGGAAGGAGACUGUCUGGAAGUUGCCUCUGUUCCACAGACUUAGAUUUGACCCGCAAUUUGCACUGACAAACAUCGCUGUGCUAAAACAUAACUUGAACAUCCUGAUUAAACGCUCCAACUCUACCGCUGCUACCAAUGGAGAGGAAAUGCUGGUAGGAAGACUCUUCCAGGAUGUAAUGCAGAAGCUCAGGGCAGAGCUAUUCACACUUCACACCAGUGCUGUUUCCUCACCAUAGAGGUUCCUGAGGUCACAGUGUUUUCCAAGUCUCCCGUGACACUGGGUCAGCCCAACACCCUCAUCUGUCUUGUGGACAACAUCUUUCCUCCUGUGGUCAACAUCACCUGGCUGAGCAAUGGGCACUCAGUCACAGAAGGUGUUUCUGAGACCAGCUUCCUCUCCAAGAGUGAUCAUUCCUUCUUCAAGAUCAGUUACCUCACCUUCCUCCCUUCUGCUGAUGAGAUUUAUGACUGCAAGGUGGAGCACUGGGGCCUGGAUGAGCCUCUU
rnacentral:misc_RNA from 1 species